UGGGGAAUUUUGGACAAUGGGCGAAAGCCUGAUCCAGCAAUGCCGCGUGUGUGAAGAAGGCCUUCGGGUUGUAAAGCACUUUUGUCCGGAAAGAAAUCCUUGGCUCUAAUACAGUCGGGGGAUGACGGUACCGGAAGAAUAAGCACCGGCUAACUACGUGCCAGCAGCCGCGGUAAUACGUAGGGUGCAAGCGUUAAUCGGAAUUACUGGGCGUAAAGCGUGCGCAGGCGGUUUGCUAAGACCGAUGUGAAAUCCCCGGGCUCAACCUGGGAACUGCAUUGGUGACUGGCAGGCUAGAGUAUGGCAGAGGGGGGUAGAAUUCCACGUGUAGCAGUGAAAUGCGUAGAGAUGUGGAGGAAUACCGAUGGCGAAGGCAGCCCCCUGGGCCAAUACUGACGCUCAUGCACGAAAGCGUGGGGAG
rnacentral:rRNA from 1 species